rnacentral:rRNA from 1 species
AUUGAACGCUGGCGGCAGGCCUAACACAUGCAAGUCGAGCGAGCGGCGGACGGGUGAGUAAUGUAUGGGGAUCUGCCCGAGAGAGGGGGAUAACUACUGGAAACGGUAGCUAAUACCGAAUACCAACAGAUGAACCCAUAUGGGAUUAGCUUGUGGGUGAGGUAACGGCUCACCUAGGCGACGAUGCCUAGCUGGUCUGAGAGGAUGAUCAGCCACGCUGUGACGGAGACACGGCCCAGACUCCUACGGGAGGAAGCAGUGGGGAAUAUUGCACAAUGGGCGCAAGCCUGAUGCAGCCAUGCCGCGUGUAUGAAGAAGGCCUUCGGGUUGUAAAGUACUUUCAGUCGGGAGGCGUUACCGACAGAAGAAGCACCGGCUAACUCCGUGCCAACAGCCGCGGUAAUAC